ensembl:lncRNA
GUAUAUCUCAUAACAGUUAUGUUCAUAUGCAUAAGGUUUAUAUUCACCAUGCACACACAGUGGAGACUUCUGACACCAUUAAGGAAGAGGUGGCCAAAUGGCUCCUCUUUCACGCUCUACCCUCUGUUUUCAUUUGAAGUUCUUUAAGGGCAGCCAUGGUUCCAGUGUAUUAUCAGCCCAGUGUCUUUUCCCACACAUGUGCAAACCUUAGAUACCAUUUUUUCCUUUGUUCCUCCUGCUUCUGUACUGCUAAAUUUUCUCUGUUUUCCAUUUGGUGGCCAAAAAGUUCUUCCUCUGUUGAGUGAUAAGUAUAGAAAUACUGCAGUGACUAAGAAUGACUUCUGUGGAGUCCGAAGAUGAAACUAUGCAUAACCUUGUGUUCAGCAACCAGAUGGUGGGACAGACCCUUCCCACACCUUGUCUGAUGUAGCCUUUCCUCACACUCAGCAUGCUGCUUUCAGAGUUAAUUUUAUUACAAGGAUUACAUAGUGUUUCAUUAUUAACUAUGCAUCUGUCACCUAUAAAAAGUUCAGUGGUCACCUGUUUACUUGUGACAAAUUCUGGGGAUUAAAAGUAUAUCUUUAUCUCAAAGGGCAUAAACUUGAUGAUCUAUAUAGAGGUUAGUUUUUAUAUAGUAAAUUAUCUUAAUAAAAAUGGUGCUUAGUAAAAUUAUUAAAAUGUAUAACUAUAUACAUGUAAACACACUUAUACAUGCACACAAAUAUAUAUGUAGUCCUGUGAUUUUAGAUUAUGUUGUCAGUAUCCACUUACCCGAUGGUAAAUGAAGUAUUUACUCAAAACUAUUUCUUUACAAGAAUGGACUUUUUUCUCUUUAUUUUUCAAAAUUACAUGUUAUUUUGUGUAUUGUAGAGAAGCUAGUUUAAAAUUUGGAUUAUUUAACUUAUACUUUUUUGGGGGAGGCUGGUUUAACAAUUUAAUCCCUCAACUAUUAAUUAGGAUGAAGUAAUUUUUAUUUGGGGUUCUUAGUGCAGGCAGACCACCCUUCAGAUUAUUUCUUUGUGACAUAUUCUCAGCUACUUAAAUAUUCCAGUUUCUGAACCUAGAGAUAUAUUUUACAUUUGAUCUUUUACAAAGUAUUGGCAUGUACAUUUUUUGCUUGGUUUUAUUAUUAUUAAUCAUUUUAUUUGUUUACAUUUCUAAUGUUACUUUCCUUUCCAGUCCCUCCUCCACAAGACCCCUCCCCCUCCUUUUUUGGAGUCAAAAUAGAGUUUGUUUGCAUUUCACUGGGACUCAUCAGAUUCAGUUGUUCAUUUUACAAUAGUCACCACAUUUCUUUCUGUACCUUAGAUCUGAUGCAGUGACACUGUUAGUGAUAUUUUCCACAACAUAUAGUUGCCAAGAUUUUUCUUUCUUGGAAUUGCAGUUCCUAAUUUUGUGACAUUAUUCAACAAUUUACAUAAAGAUGGUAAAUGCUCAUUUUUAUUCAAAUACGUGAUAAAUCCAGGUUGGAAUUUCUAUUUCUAAACCAUUAUUAUUUUCAAGAAUACACAGAGAUCUGCCAAAUAAAAUUUGUUACUAAAUUUCUAAAUAUUUUAAAUCUUCCAACCUGCUUUUCUUCAGAAAAAGGUUGUAUUUUUACUGAAGUCCAUGUCGAUAUACACAGAGCAUGAAAUAAUCAGUGAGAGAAGGAAGUUAGCCUGGUUUUCUGUCCUCAAAAGAAAAGGCUGUUUUGUUUUGGUGUCUCUAGAAACCCAGGGCCUUGAGCAUGUUAGACAAGUGCUCCACUACUGAGCUUUAUCUUCAACCCCAGGAAAAGUAAUUUAAAAUAUCUUUGUAAUGUAUUUUAUUUGGAAGAAGUUUUCUUGAGCAAUCAUGACUAUUUCCUUCGGUAUCUAUGUGAUGGUAAUGAUUUUAAUUUAACAGAAAUGGGAGAACUUGGAUGUAAUAUAGUACGACUGUGGUUUGAGUAAUUGAGGGUUUACAUUGUUGUAGAGUUUUACAUUCUCUUACUGAUUCCUGGUAUGCUUAAGACGUGCAUUACUGGAGAGUAAUACAUCAUCUAUUCAGUACUCUGAAGGUAGUAAUUGUUAACCGUUUGAGUAGGAUGACGGCAUAGUUGUCUAUACCCCAGGCUGAUCUCGAACUCGUUAGGACUUGCUGUGUUAGCAGUGAGAGACAAGAUCCUGGACCUCAAGCUUGGUGCCUGUUCCUGUGCCUGCGCCUGCUGUAAAAGAGCGCUUGCAAUUGAGCCGCACCUCAGUCUUUCUUGAUUGCGGGUUUGGAAUGUGGGGUUCAUGAAGAAGUUGCUUAGUGAGAUACAAUACAAGUCACAGUUUUAAAAGUAAAUUUAUAGAACUCCUUGAUGCUUUUGAAAUCAUUUAGUAAAAAUAUUUUUAUUCCUAAGAUCUCAUUUAAAGGAGUGUCAAACAGAAAAAUUUGGAAAUUAUACACUAAAUUGCUAUAAUAGAAUGGAAGGGCUGUCGGAAUUUCAGUAAAAAAGAUGCUUGAAAAAUUAUGUAAAGACUCACCGUACUAAUUGUCAUAAACGUCUCAUGUCACUUGUAAUGGAGCAAAACCUGCGAGAUGAGGUAUAUAGACUAUUGUGAAAGCUCUGUUUUAGAUUGGAAGCUGCCCGGAAAUAGGUAGUACAUUUUGUUUUCUCAACUUGUAAGCGUUGUAAAAUUUCAUGAAAAGGAACGUUUGAGAAGCACAUCUGUCUAGGAUCCUCUGUUUUCUUCCUGGGACACAUUCAAGCAGUCUGAGUGGGUUCUGAAGUACCAUUUGGUUUUGCAUUGUUUUUAUUUUAGGACUAGUCUCACUGUUGCCCAGGCUGGGCAAGAACUCCUGGACUGAAGUCAUCACCUACCUCAGCCUCUUAAGUAGCUGGGACCACAGCUGUAUACUUUGUCACCUACCACUUUUUACCUUCUCUGCUACAAGAGUACUUGAAUAUAUAAUUUAUAUUGUUACAUUAAUGCUGUCAGACCUGAUGCUAAGGGUCAGUGUCCCAGAAUCUUGCUUGUUGUGCUGAAUUAAUA